rnacentral:rRNA from 1 species
UACGAAGGGGGCUAGCGUUGCUCGGAAUUACUGGGCGUAAAGGGCGCGUAGGCGGAUAUCUAAGUCGGGGGUGAAAGCCCAGGGCUCAACCCUGGAACAGCCUUCGAUACUGGAUAUCUUGAGUUCGGAAGAGGUAAGUGGAAUGCCGAGUGUAGAGGUGAAAUUCGUAGAUAUUCGGCGGAACACCAGUGGCGAAGGCGACUUACUGGUCCGAUACUGACGCUGAGGCGCGAAAGCGUGGGGAGCAAACAGG